UAUGAUACGAUGAUGAGGAUCAGUAGUUUCUAACCCGAUCACAUAGAGAGCCGGCGGUUGGUGCAAGCCGGUUGACGAAGGAAAUGAACUCACCUCGGAGUAACGAUGUUAACCCGGUUUAGACAGCUUACACGGUAAGCGUUAAUGUCAGGCCGAUGAGUCAUCGUCGUCUCACCUGCGAUAGAGGUGCAAAGUGAGUUGAAGGCAAAGAAUGCCUUUGGCUAACUAGGGUGGUACCACGGGAAUCAAACCUCUCGUCCCUAGC
rnacentral:ncRNA from 1 species